rnacentral:rRNA from 1 species
AUUGAACGCUGGCGGCAGGCCUAACACAUGCAAGUCGAGCGGAGCGGCGGACGGGUGAGUAAUGCCUCGGAAUCUGCCUGGUAGUGGGGGAUAACGUCCGGAAACGGGCGCUAAUACCGCAUACUAUUAGAUUAGCCUAGGUCGGUUUAGCUAGUUGGUGGGGUAACGGCCUACCAAGGCGACGAUCCGUAACUGGUCUGAGAGGAGGAUCAGUCACACUGGAACUGAGACACGGGCCAGACUCCUACGGGAGGCAGCAGUGGGGAAUAUUGGACAAUGGGCGAAAGCCUGAUCCAGCCAUGCCGCGUGUGUGAAGAAGGUCUUCGGAUUGUAAAGCACUUUAAGUUGGGAGGCGUUACCAGCAGAAUAAGCACCGGCUAACUUCGUGCCAGCCGCCGCGGUAAUAC